rnacentral:rRNA from 1 species
UACGUAGGCAGCGAGCGUUUGUUCGGAGUUACUGGGCGUAAAGCGUGCGUAGGCGGUGUCUUAAGUUUGUUGUGAAAUCUCCCGGCUUAACCGGGAGGGUGCGGCGAAUACUGAGAUGCUGGAGUGCCGGAGAGGUAAGCGGAAUUCCUGGUGUAGCGGUGAAAUGCGUAGAUAUCAGGAGGAACACCUGUGGUGUAGACAGCUUACUGGACCAUCACUGACGCUGAGACGCGAAAGCGUGGGUAGCAAACAGG